GCAGCUCAGUGGUACAUCAUCUGCUUUGCAUGCAGAAGGCCCCAAGUUCAAUUCCCAGCAUCUCCA